ensembl:lincRNA Gm21718 predicted gene, 21718
AUGUUCCACCUUGGGCAUCUUAUUGUCUUAUGCAGCUUGCUCGUUGGGACCUCAAGUUCACUUUCUGAGGCUAUUGACAGUAUCCUGAAGAACGUGGGCUCUCUGAAUUCUCUCUUAGCAAAUAUCCUUCAAAACCGGAGUCUGACUAUAAGGUCACUUCAGGAAACCAUAGCUUGGUCAUUAGCCAAGGACAGGAUUCUAGAAGGUUUGAAAACACUGGAUUUGGGUACAUUAAUCCCAAAGUUAAGGUUGCAAAUCAAGGAACCCAGAAUUUUGGAGCCGAAACUUGACCUGUCUUCCAGUGGUGAUGAUAUUACCCUAAGGAUGCCUGUGGUUUUGGUUGUAUCUGUAAGGGUGCUGCCAUCUCUUACCUCCAUGGCUGAAAUUACUAUUUCCAUGGAAAUCAUAUCUUCAUUCCUUACUCAAAAUGAUGCCAAGUCUGACCUUCCUGUCUUGGCCAUGCAGCAAUGUUCAAGUGAUAUGGACAAAAUCUCCAUUUCCAUUUGGGGCAGGUAA